ACAUUGGUAGUUCAAUGGUAGAAUUCUCUCACCUUCUAUGCAGGAGACCUGGGUUCAACUCCUGGCUGAUGUA
rnacentral:tRNA from 1 species